GGAGAGGUGUCCGAGCGGUUUAAGGAACUGGUCUUGAAAACCAGCGAUUCCUUUGCGGGAACCAAGGGUUCGAAUCCCUUCCUCUCCGCCA
rnacentral:tRNA from 1 species